GAUGAACGCUGGCGGCGUGCCUAACACAUGCAAGUCGAGCGAACACACGAUGAGAUCGCUCUCCUACCGUUAGCGGGUGACGGGCGAGUAACACGUGGAUAACCUACUUCUAUGACUGGGAUAAUAACGGGAAACCGGUGCUACUACUGCCUCAUAUAUCGAACCGCUUGGUUCAAUAGUGAUAGACGCUUUUGCCGAUACUUUGAGCUGGAGUCGGGUCGGAUAAGCUAGUUGGUAAGGUAACGGCUUACCAAGGCGACGAUGCGUAGCUGAUCUGAGAGGAUGAUCAGCCACACUGGAACUGAGACACGGUCCAGACUCCUACGGGAGGCAGCAGUAGGGAAUCUUGCGCAAUGGGCGAAAGCCUGAUGGAGCAACACCGCGUGAGUGAUGAAGGUCUUCGGAUCGUAAAGCUCUGUUGUUAGGAAAGAACAGAAGUGUGAUAAACCCUGGACGUCUUGACGGUACCUAAAGAAUAAGCCACGGCUAACUUCGUG
rnacentral:rRNA from 1 species